rnacentral:rRNA from 1 species
GAACGAGACCUUCGGGUCUAGUGGCGCACGGGUGCGUAACGCGUGGGAAUCUGCCCCUUGGUUCGGAAUAACAGUUAGAAAUGACUGCUAAUACCGGAUAACGACGUAAGUCCAAAGAUUUAUCGCCGAGGGAUGAGCCCGCGUAGGAUUAGCUAGUUGGUGUGGUAAAGGCGCACCAAGGCGACGAUCCUUAGCUGGUCUGAGAGGAUGAUCAGCCACACUGGGACUGAGACACGGCCCAGACUCCUACGGGAGGCAGCAGUGGGGAAUAUUGGACAAUGGGCGAAAGCCUGAUCCAGCAAUGCCGCGUGAGUGAUGAAGGCCUUAGGGUUGUAAAGCUCUUUUACCCGGGAUGAUAAUGACAGUACCGGGAGAAUAAGCUCCGGCUAACUCCGUG